UUUUGGUAUCACCAUGCAGAACCAUCAUAUGUGAUGUUAGCGUUUUGGAUCCCUGAAACUCCUUGUACUAUCCCUGAUAAUGCUUCACAUCAAGUGGGAAUCGCAGCUUUUGUAUACAACAGCAAAGGAGAGGUUCUCGUAGUUCAGGAAAAGUGUGGACCUUACAAAGAUUCAGGACUGUGGAAAAUGCCCACAGGAAGGAUUAAACAGGGGGAAGGCAUUAAAGAAGGGGCU